rnacentral:rRNA from 1 species
CCUACGGGCGGCAGCAGUGAGGAAUAUUGGUCAAUGGACGAGAGUCUGAACCAGCCAAGUAGCGUGAAGGAUGAAUGCCCUAUGGGUUUUAAACUUCUUUUAUAUGGGAAUAAAAUGUUCCACGUGUGGGAUUUUGUAUGUACCAUAUGAAUACGGAUAGGCUCACUCCGUUCCAGCAGCCGCGGUAAUACGGAGGAUCCGAGCGUUAUCCGGAUUUAUUGGGUUUAAAGGGAGCGUAGGUGGAUUGUUAAGUCAGUUGUGAAAGUUUGCGGCUCAACCGUAAAAGUGCAGUUGAAACUGGCAGACUUGAGUACAGUAGAGGUGGGCGGAAUUCGUGGUGUAGCGGUGAAAUGCUUAGAUAUCACGAAGAACUCCGAUUGCGAAGGCAGCUCACUGGACUGCAACUGACACUGAGGCUCGAAAGUGUGGGUAUCAAACAGGAUUAGAUACCCCAGUAGUC